rnacentral:rRNA from 1 species
UACGAAGGGUGCAAGCGUUACUCGGAAUUACUGGGCGUAAAGGGCGCGUAGGCGGCCGAUCAAGUCAGGCGGGAAAUUCCUGGGCUUAACCUGGGGGCUGCGCUUGAGACUGAUUGGCUAGAGGAUGGAAGAGGCUCGUGGAAUUCCCAGUGUAGAGGUGAAAUUCGUAGAUAUUGGGAAGAACACCGGUGGCGAAGGCGGCGAGCUGGUCCAUUACUGACGCUGAGGCGCGACAGCGUGGGGAGCAAACAGG